rnacentral:rRNA from 1 species
AGAGUUUGAUCCUGGCUCAGGAUGAACGCUAGCGGCAGGCUUAAUACAUGCAAGUCGAGGGGCAGCGCGGGUAGCAAUAUCUGGCGGCGACCGGCGUACGGGUGCGUAACGCGUAUGUAAUCUACCUAUAACAGUGGGAUAGCCCCGAGAAAUCGGGAUUAAUACCGCAUGAAAUUAGUUUAAGGCAUCUUAGAUUAAUCAAAGCUGAGGCGGUUAUAGAUGAGCAUGCGUGACAUUAGCUAGUUGGUAGGGUAACGGCUUACCAAGGCGACGAUGUCUAGGGGUUCUGAGAGGAAGGUCCCCCACACUGGUACUGAGACACGGACCAGACUCCUACGGGAGGCAGCAGUAAGGAAUAUUGGGCAAUGGGCGCGAGCCUGACCCAGCCAUGCCGCGUGCAGGAAGACGGCCUUAUGGGUUGUAAACUGCUUUUGUCAGGGGAUAAACCUAUCUACGAGUAGAUAGCUGAAGGUACCUGAAGAAUAAGCAUCGGCUAACUCCGUGCCAGCAGCCGCGGUAAUACGGAGGAUGCGAGCGUUAUCCGGAUUCAUUGGGUUUAAAGGGUGCGCAGGCGGGGCAUUAAGUCAGUGGUGAAAUAAGACGGCUCAACUGUCUGGCUGCCAUUGAUACUGAUGUUCUAGAGUGUAAUUGGAGUGGGCGGAAUGUGUCAUGUAGCGGUGAAAUGCUUAGAUAUGACACAGAACACCGAUCGCGAAGGCAGCUCACUAAGUUAAGACUGACGCUCAUGCACGAAAGCGUGGGGAUCAAACAGGAUUAGAUACCCUGGUAGUCCACGCUGUAAACGAUGAUUACUCGAUGUUGGCGAUAUAAGUCAGUGUCUGAACGAAAGUAUUAAGUAAUCCACCUGGGGAGUACGUUCGCAAGGAUGAAACUCAAAGGAAUUGACGGGGGCCCGCACAAGCGGAGGAGCAUGUGGUUUAAUUCGAUGAUACGCGAGGAACCUUACCUAGACUUAAAUGUAGAUUGACCGGACGGGAAACCGUUUUUUCAGCGAUGACAAUUUACAAGGUGCUGCAUGGUUGUCGUCAGCUCGUGCCGUGAGGUGUCAGGUUAAGUCCUAUAACGAGCGCAACCCUUAUCCUUAGUUGCCAGCACGUAAUGGUGGGGACUCUAGGGAAACUGCCUACGCAAGUAGAGAGGAAGGUGGGGAUGACGUCAAAUCAGCACGGCCCUUACGUCUAGGGCUACACACGUGCUACAAUGGUAGGUACAGAGGGCAGCUACACGGUGACGUGAUGCCAAUCUCAAAAGCCUAUCUCAGUUCGGAUCGAAGUCUGCAACCCGACUUCGUGAAGUUGGAUUCGCUAGUAAUCGCACAUCAGCCAUGGUGCGGUGAAUACGUUCCCGGGCCUUGUACACACCGCCCGUCAAGCCAUGGGAGCUUGGGGUACCUGAAGUUCGUAACCGCGAGGGGCGACCUAGGGUAAAACGAGUGACUGGGGCUAAGUCGUAACAAGGU